UGGCCGCGUGGUUGAGGCUGCAAGUCGCACGAGAACGGGGUAGCAAUACUCCUAGUAAAGUGGCGGAAGGGUGAGGAAUGGGUAGAUAACGUACCCUUGAGAUGGGCAUAACAGCUCGAAAGAGCCGCUAAUACCCGAUGAGACCACAGUGGGGCAUCUCACAGAGGUCAAAGGCCGGGGAUCUUCGGACCUGGCGCUCAUGGAUCGGUCUACUCCCUACCAGUUAGUUGGCGGGGUAACGGCCCACCAAGACUGCGACGGGUACCCGGGCUGAGAGGCUGAUCGGGCACAUCGGCACUGAGACACUGGCCGGACACCUACGGGUGGCUGCAGUUCGGAAUAUUCGGCAAUGGACGAAAGUCUGACCGAGCGACGCCGCGUGCGGGAUGAAGGCCCUUUGGGUUGUAAACCGCUGUCACAGGUGAGCAAAUCACAGAGUGUUAACACCAUUUUGUGUUGAGUUAAGCUUGAGAGGAAGCCCCCGCUAAUCACGUGCCAGCAGCGGCGGUAAUACGUGAGGGGCGAACGUUGUUCGGUGUCACUGGGCUUAAAGGGCGCGUAGGUGGUUGCGUAAGUAACGUGUGAAAUCCCUCGGCUUACCCGGGGAAUUGCGCGUUAUACUGCGUGACUUGAGGACCACAGGGGAAGGGGGAACUCCAGGUGUAGCGGUGAAAUGCGCAGAUAUCUGGGGGAAGGCCGGCGGCGAAGGCGCCCUUCUGGGUGGUUCCUGACACUGAGGCGCGAAAGCGUGGGGAGCAAACAGGAUUAGAUACCCUGGUAGUCCAC
rnacentral:rRNA from 1 species